GACGAACGCUGGCGGCGUGCUUAACACAUGCAAGUCGAACGAAGUGGCGAACGGGUGAGUAACGCGUAAUCAACCUGCCCUUCAGAGGGGGACAACAGUUGGAAACGACUUCUAAUACCGCAUACUGCAGGAGGGGAUUGCGUCUGAUUAGCUAGUUGGGAGGGUAACGGCCCACCAAGGCGAUGAUCAGGAGCCGGGCUGAGAGGAUGAACGGCUACAUUGGGACUGAGACACGGCCCAGAAUCCUACGGGAGGCAGCAGGGGGGAAGCUUCCGCAAUGGACGAAAGGCUGACGGAGCAACGCCGCGUUGGUGAUGACGGCCUUCGGGUUGUAAAGCUCUGUUAAUCGGGACGCGUUACCGGAAUAGAAAGCCACGGCUAACUACGUGCCAGCAGCCGCGGUAAUUC
rnacentral:rRNA from 1 species